rnacentral:rRNA from 1 species
UACGAAGGGGGCUAGCGUUGUUCGGAAUUACUGGGCGUAAAGGGCGCGCAGGCGGCCCUCCAAGUCAGGCGUGAAAGCCCCGGGCUCAACCCGGGAAUAGCGCUUGAGACUGGGGGGCUUGAGUUCGGGAGAGGAGAGUGGAAUUCCCAGUGUAGAGGUGAAAUUCGUAGAUAUUGGGAAGAACACCGGUGGCGAAGGCGGCUCUCUGGACCGUAACUGACGCUGAGGCGCGAAAGCGUGGGGAGCAAACAGG